GUGCGUUUCAGUGAAUUGCUUGCAGCGCUCCAGAAUGCAGGAGCUAAGGAGAAACAAAGGACUGCAGAUGCUGGAAUCUAGAUGAAAAACACUAUAAUGCUGAAGGAACACAGCAGGCCAGGCAGCAUCUGUGGAGAAAAGCAGACGGUCAACAUUUCGGGUAUUUGAAGUGGGUGGCUUCUCAUGAGACAUUAAAUGAAGACCCCCAUCUGUCUCCACUUCUGGACACAAAAGAUGAAAUGGCAUUAUUUUGGAGGACUAAGGCAAAUUACUCCUAUGGUCCUAGCUAAUACUUCUCUCUCCUACAACAUCAAACAAAGCAAAUUACCAAGUCAUUAUUGUAUUUCUAUGUGGGUAAGCUUGCUCUUCUCAAAUUGGCUACUGUGAUGCCUUUACUACAAUUGUAUCUACACUUAAGAUACUUAGUUGGCUGUAAAAUUCUUUGGGACAUCCCAAGGUCAUGAAAAACAUUAUGUGCAAGCAUAUUUUCCUUUAGCAA